rnacentral:rRNA from 1 species
AUUGAACGCUGGCGGCAGGCUUAACACAUGCAAGUCGAGCGGGGUGAUGGUGCUUGCACUAUCACUUAGCGGCGGACGGGUGAGUAGUGCUUAGGAACCUGCCUAUUAGUGGGGGACAACAUCUCGAAAGGGAUGCUAAUACCGCAUACGUCCUACGGGAGAAAGCAGGGGAUCACUUGUGACCUUGCGCUAAUAGAUGAGCCUAAGUCGGAUUAGCUAGUUGGUGGGGUAAAGGCCUACCAAGGCGACGAUCUGUAGCGGGUCUGAGAGGAUGAUCCGCCACACUGGGACUGAGACACGGCCCAGACUCCUACGGGAGGCAGCAGUGGGGAAUAUUGGACAAUGGGGGGAACCCUGAUCCAGCCAUGCCGCGUGUGUGAAGAAGGCCUUAUGGUUGUAAAGCACUUUAAGCGAGGAGGAGGCUCUUUUGGUUAAUACCCAAGAUGAGUGGACGUUACUCGCAGAAUAAGCACCGGCUGACUCUGUGCCAGCCGCCGCCGUAA